rnacentral:rRNA from 1 species
CGGGGCGCAGCAGGCGCGAAACCUUUACACUGCACGCCAGUGCGAUAAGGGGACCCCGAGUGAAAGGGCAUAUCGCCCUUUCUUUUCUGAACCGUAGGGAGGUUCAGGAACAAGAGCUGGGCAAGACCGGUGCCAGCCGCCGCGGUAAUACCGGCAGCUCGAGUGAUGACCGAUUUUAUUGGGCCUAAAGCGUCCGUAGCUGGCCGCGCAAGUCUGUCGGGAAAUCCACCCGCUUAACGGGUGGGCGUCCGGCGGAAACUGUGCGGCUUGGGACAGGAAGGCUCGAGGGGUACGUUCGGGGUAGGAGUGAAAUCCUGUAAUCCUGAACGGACCACCGAUGGCGAAAGCACCUCGAGAGGACUGAUCCGACAGUGAGGGACGAAAGCUGGGGUCUCGAACCGGAUUAGAUACCCCCGUAGUCC